rnacentral:lncRNA from 1 species
GCCCGUCCAACCAAGCCUUGGACACUUCCAGGAGCGGGGCAGCCACAGCUUCUCUGGGCAACCUGUGCCAGGGCCUCCUCACCCUCACAGGAAAGAAUUCCUUCCCAAAAUUUAAUCCAAAUUUCUCCUCUUUUAAUUUAAAACCACUUCAUCUUCUACCCUUCUCGCAAGAUUGUUCCAGUGAACUUCAGCGUGUUCAGCCUGAUCCAGGAGAUGCGCACGCAGAGGCCCUGCCUCGUGCAGACCAAGGAGCAGUAUGAGUUGGUUUAUGAUGUGGUGAUUGAGCUCUUCAGAAGGAGGAUUAAAGCACUCGAUGCCCAGAAAGAUUCUGCUGAUUCCCAGGUAAAAGUCCCAGAACAAACACCCUGCCUCUAAUCUCGAUUCCUGCUGCAGGCCUGGGAUCAAUCCCCAUGUUUUCUGCUCCCCUUGAUGCCCAAAUUGAUUCUCUUUUGAAGCUGACCCAUGAGAAUCCAGCUCUGAACGUGCAAUGCUUAUCACAACCAACACCUAAAUUUUUCUUUGGUCCUCAAACCAUUUUAUGUUUUCUAUACACUUACAUAAUUGCUUAAUGCCACAAGUGAAUAGAAAAGCACCAGCUUAC